AAUUAUAGGCAUGAGCCACCACACUGAGCCCAUUGAAACUUCUCUAGCAAGGAUCACAAAUGGACACAACCUUGGUACAUCUAAUGGAUGUCCUUAUCUCAUUGAACUUCUUAUGUUCCUCCACUUUUCUCUGCAUUUAUUACUUCUGCCUUCACUCAUGUUGUCUCUGCUGUCUGGAAUGUUACACGAUCCAUACACAUGCACAUACACGCACACGUGCGAGCAUACACAUACAGACACACGAACAUGCGCACACGCGUGCACGCACGCACACACACACACCCCUCCCUUCCUGGCCUCUUACCUAGCUGAUUCCUAGUCAUUCAUCCUUAGGUUUUUGUGCCUGUGUCACUUCCGCAGCAGGUCAGGUAUUCCUUCCUUGUGCUGCCUGCUCAUAGCACACAGGGUAUGAUGCUACUAUUACAUUUAUCACGUAGCCUGGGAAUUAUAUGUUUGCAUUUCUCUCUGUGACUAUACUGAGAAAUUUGGUGGGGGGAAGGAAUAUUUCUUUCUGUAUACUUUUGUAUCCCUUACACCUCUCAUAGUCCCUGAUUGGUAAUCAACAUACUGGUGUUCUCAUUGUUAAUAAGAAUAGUGAAAACUUAGGGCAACAGACUGAAGGUCUUUGUGACAAGUAAUUUUUGUUUAAAUGGGACGGAUGACAGUGACAGAGCUCUAAAUUUCUACUAACCAGCUGAGACACGAUGGCAAAGAAGCAGAUUGCUGUGAUUGGAGCUGUAAUUAGCGAACUGGGUGCCAUUAAGUGCUGCUUAGAUGAAGAUCUGGAGCCCACCUGCUUUGAAAGAUAUGAUGAUAUUGGAGGUCUCUGGAAAUUUCAAAAAAAUACUUCAGAGAAAAUGCCUAGUAUUUACAAGUAAUCUGUGACCAUCAAUACUUCCAAGGAGAUGAUGUGCUUCAGUGACUUCCGUGUCCCUGAUAAUUUUCCCAAGUACAUGCACAGCUCCAAACUCAGGACUGCUUCAGGAUGCAUGCCACACACUUUGGCCUCCUCGAUUACAUUGGUUUUAAGGUAAAAUCUAAGUGAAUCAUUGCAUAGUCAAUGUGUGUGUGUGUGUGUGUGUGUCUGCAUGUGCAUGUAUGUGUGCAGACACACUCAAUUGUACACACAUGAGCUAUAUUUGGCAUCUUCUGGUAUGAUCAGAGAAAGAGAUCAUCAGCAAGCUUCCACCCUAGAAAAUCACCCCUUAUAAAGAAGUAAUGUUUUGAAUAUUUCACUUGAAUAUAAGGUUGAAGAAUUUUGCCCAACAGAACCUAUUCUAAUAAGACUUUGGUGUGGCAUUGUAAGGGUCCUUUCUGUCAGCCUUAAAUUCAACUCUUGAAGGACUUAGAAUAGUGGCAGUAGUAAUUGAGCCAUAUUACAUUGUGUGUAUGUAGAAUAAGAAUGAAGGGAAGGUCAUAUAAGCAACACAAGGAAGACGUUUUUUCAGAUCCAUGUAGUUCCCAUAAUCUACCACCAUGACCCCCAACUCACACUUAAAAAUCCAUCUCUAUAGUCAUGGUAGAAUAUUAAUUCCUAUCUGAAACUCAAAAGCCAAGUGCAGGGAAACUGAAUAAGUUUGUGCUAAAAUAUGAAAAAUAUAAGGAAUAUUAGUCUCUUGCAUGUGGAAGUCAUCCUGGAAGGAUAUUUCUCUUGCAGCUUCAGUCACUCCUCUGUUUUUUCACUGUUAAGUAUUAACUAUUUCUAUUUCUAUGGAAAAUUGGAUUUUUAAAUAAAAUACCUGUAAUAUCUUGAAAAUGCACACACGGCAAAGGCAGUCACUGUGGGAGUGGGAACUAAAGUGAGAGCAAAUGCCUCUGAUGAAGAUAGAAGAGUCUCAGAUAAGUUGUAUUACUCAGACUCAUGUGGUUUGGGGGAAGAGGGAUUAAAACUGAGAACUGUGAUAGUAUAUCACCUAUGUUUUGCCCUUGUUCUCAGACCAAAGUGCAAAGUGUGAGGAAGCACCCAGAUUUUUCUGUCAAUGGACAAUGAGAUGUUGUUGUGGAGACUGAAGAGAAGCAAGAGACUUUGGUCUUUGAUGGGGUCUUAGUCUGCAGUGUACACCACACAGAUCCCUACUUACCACUUCAGUCCUUCCCAGGCAUUGAGAAGUUUGAAGGCUGUUAUUUCCACAGUCGGGAAUACAAAAGUCCUGAGGACUCUUCAGGGGAAAGAAUCAUAGUGAUUGGCACUGGAAAUUCUGGAGUGGAUGUUGCGGUGGAGCUCAGUUGUGUAGCAAAACAGGUUUGUUUGUUUUGAACAACUUCACUAAUGGAAACACAACUUUCACUAAUGGAAAUCUCUGCAUUUAUAGGUGCCAUCCAGAAUGUAGGUUUAGUCUGUGAAGGACCAGAGAAGAAAGUGAAAUCUAUGGACCCUGGCCUCAAGGUGUUUACAUUCAUGGGGAGCAGAGGAUAAAUGCAAAAUAAAUCCUUCAUAUUCACAGUGGAAAAAUACAUGUAAAUAAAUUACUAUUAAUUGAGCCAAUUCAGUAAAAUAUUAGCAUAGAUUAAAGAAAAUGUUAGAUAAUUAAUCUGACUUUUUUACUACCACAGCAGUGCUUUGGUCCUGAAACAGACUUCAAAUAGUAGUAAAGACAAGAAAUUGCAAAUCUAUCUGGAAUCAGUAGAUUUUGGUGGUAGAAUUAAAUAAUAGAAAACAGAGAAGAGUUAAUGAUGAUGAUAAAUAUAUAAUUCUCUUUAACUAAAGUGUUAUACUCUAUCUAUAAUGAUGAGGAAAGAUAAAAUAUUAAAUUUUGCUUUAGACAUAGUUUAUUUCAUGCAAAACCAAGUUAUCUAAGACUUUCAUUUAUGCUUGAUUAUUCAAUAUUAUUUCUUCUCUUAAAAAAUUAAUAACACUCAGAGUUUAUUAAAAAAAUGAGAUAACUUUCACAUUCAGGAUUAUUGGCCACAUUUAAUAAAGCCUUAAUUAAUAAAGCACCCUACCUAUGAGGAUAUUCAGAUAUCCUGAUUUUCAUUACUUAUUUGUCUUUAUUUGUUAUCAUUAAUCAUUAGUUUUUAGAAGAAAUUACUAAGUGAAUUACUAAAAGUUUAGUUUAUUUUUAAAAAUUUAAUAAGCAUUUAAAAAGGUAAAUGUUUGGUCACUAGCGCCCAUCUAAUCUAUCUUGUACUUUACAGAUUUGACCAGGAGGAACUGAGAUUCAACAUCCUCAAGACUGCAAAAGCACCUAUAAUCAAACAACUUAAUAUAUUUCCUAAUUUUAUCAGCAUGCAGACAAGUUUACAAGUACAUUAUAGAAAGAUUUGAAGAGUGAUUCUGGUUACGUUCAGUUAAGCAGGAUGCUAAUCCUGAACGAUCUGAUGUAUUAAAGUUUUUAAUGUUUGUAUCUUUGUUUUGAUGCAUACAAUAUAGUGGAAGUCUAUAGUAGUUAAUAUGAUGAUAAUUCGCUUCUAAAUUUAAAUCCUUAUUUAUAUAUGAAGCAUAGCUAUGUCUAUGUCCAAGAAAGAAUUUUAAAAUAGUAAAUCAGAAACUUGUAAACUAGUGAAUACAAUUUUCUAUUUUUCAUUCAGAAAUUUGUUGUCAUAGACACAGCCUUUAACUGGAAAUCAGUAGACAGGUCUGGUCAAGCACAGCAUAGCGACCACUGUGUAGUAUUUUACUACCUAAUCCUCAGUAGCCAACACUGUUAAAUCUGCGCAAUGAGUAGCAUAUGAAUAAAAAUAAUAUCAUGUAAAAUGUUCUCUCUCUCUCUCUCCUUCACUGGUUUGCUCUAUCUCUGCCUCCCUCAGGUAUUCUUCAGUACUAGACGUGGAUCAUGGAUUUUAUACCAUGUUUGGGAUAAUGGGUAUCCCAUGGAUAAUUCACUUUUCACUCGGUUCAAUAGUUUUCUCCAGAAAAUAUUAACUACAACACAAAUAAAUAACCAGCUAGAGAAAAUAAUGAACUCAAGAUUUAAUCAUGCAUACUAUGGCCUGCAGCCUCAGCACAGGUGAUCACCAAGGGGUCUUACUUUAUGCAAUUAUGUGUAUGUGUAAAAGGGAAGUUACCUUAAAGACAGUUCAGCUUCUGGCAAUUAACAUUUAUUUCGGUCAAUUAAUCUCAUACACUGGCUAAUAUAAAUCACUUAUAUUAUGAUGUACAUAAUAUAUAUUAUUGCACCUAAACCGGUCAGACAAGUGCCUGGAGAACAGCUUCAGGAAUCUCCAAGGUGAGAAUGGGAGAGUGGCAGAUUUUGGAAAGAACUUGGUAUGGACUUUGGUAAACGUCAAAGUCAGCCCUUCAUGAAGAAUGCCUGGCCCUAGCACUGCACAGAUUAAGAAAAAUAUGAAGGAGUAGGUUGAGUCCUUCCUGAGGCCAGGAAAGGACUGAAAAUGAGGGGACAGGAAGGCCUUCUCUAUGUACAUCAGCAAGAGAAUGCAUUACUGGUUUCUAUAUCUUGGACCCAAAGAAGUGGUCCUCUUCACCUUUUACCACCUGCAGAACAGCCACCACAAGGAGCAUUCUGAUAACCAGACAUCAGCCCCAAUGAGCCAUCAAAAAUCUACCAUCCCAUGUAAAUGAAUCGGUAUCCAGAGAAAAGAGUCAGAAAAUCAGAGCAUAUGCCUAGCUAGGGAAAUGGAGGAGGAAAAAGAAGUCAACUUGCAUUGGAAUAGGAAGAGAUCUUAAGGGGGAUUCAACUGCCACAAGAAAUAUUAUUCAGAGCUUAAGAAUAUCAUUUGGCAACUAAAGACAAGACUAGAUAAAUGGAAGGAAAAAUGGUUACUGGAUAGAUUAAGAGAAAUUGGAAUAGGUGGAGAAGACUUGAUGCUUAAAUAAAUAACAGAAUAUUUUUUUUCAGAUUGAAAAGAAACCAGGAUGAUUUAUGAUCCUGAAUUUACCAUCCUGAAUUCCAGGGUGGAUUAUGGACACACACACACACAAAUAUACCUAUUCACAUACAUGUACUCUUAUGUAGGAUUCCUCAGUUUCCCCUACUUUUUUCUCUUUCCUGAUCAAGAUAUAUCAGCCAGCUGCAUGUUUUCACUUGCAAGCCUAAAUCUAAGCCUGGGCCUUGAACAUUUUCAGGCACUGAUAAAGGUAUUUAGGUUAUUGCCCCAAACACCAAAGGAUACUAGCCCUGGACCUAAGCCAGAUUCCUUAAGCUCUCAGAUAAAUAUCAUAACCUGACCCUCUCAUUGUGGAUAUACCUAAGCGGAACAUUCCUUGUCUUAAUAAUCUGUAGAGAAUUAACAUAAAGAGAAGUAAAUGAAGUAGGGGGAAGCCACAUGAUUUUACAAGUGGAGGUCAAGGCACACUCUGUGCAGCAUUCGACCUCAGGGACAUACAACCAGAAGCCAGGAAAUUCAGAAAAGAGCUGGUACCAGAGAGACCUCUCUUCCUGUUGGGACGGUUUUCUUGGGUAUUUCCAGUUUAUUCCUACAUCCAAGUUCCAAGAAUCACUGCCCAAAGCAUUCAGCAUAAGUGUGAUGCAAAAUGCUUUACAUUCUGUAUUUGCUGUUUGAAAAAUUAGAUAAUGAGCAACCUGGAAACCAAUCAUCAUAACUAAAGAUGAGCAGGUUGAUGCAUAGCACUGUUCUUCCCUUCUCCCACUCUCCCCCUCCCAAGUUUUUCUUUAAGCACUUGGUCCCUUCUAGGAUUGAUAUGGGAUAAGCACAUUUGUCUAGCUGGCAUGAAAAUAAAAAGCUGGUUUAUCUGUAAACAGACAUUAAGUAUUUUAGCUAUUUCCAUGCAUGUCUUACAAUUCACAAAUCUGAAAUAACUCAGAUUAUUCUUUAUGAAACUCUCAAACCCAAUAAUAGCAUGAUAAAAAGCAACACCUUCAAGAUAUCUCUAGGGAAUCCAAAUGUAGGAAAGCAUAGGUACCUCACCGGAGCCUUCAGGGUCCCUCCACCGCCUGAGGAUAAGUCACUUCUCACUCUUGAUCUGAAUCAACAGAGAAAUUUCUGCAAUCCCAGUCCUUGGUGAUUUAGGGCAUAAGGAUCCAGGAACUUUAUAGGUAAUCAUGGUACCAAUUCUACCCCCAAAAUAUCUUUCUCAACAGCUGUCUAAUUUCUAAAAUGUUACCAUUCAACUUUUCAUUUGUUAAAUCUCUCUUUCAUUAUCAGGCAAAGACCUCCCAACCCCAGUUGUGGCAGUCUGAAUAAUGGCCGCCUAAAGACAUUUACGUUCUAAUCUUUGAAACCUGUGGCUAUGUUACUUUACAUUGCAAAAAGGACUUUUGUGAUUAAGUUAAGGAUUUGGGGAUGGGGAGAUUAUCCUGGAUUAUGCAGGUGGGUCCAAAGCAAUCAUAGGAUUCUUAAAAGAGAGAAGAAGGAAGUUGAAUUGAGAGAAGGUGAUGUGAUGCUGGAACCAGCCUUUUACAGCUGAAAAAGGUGAGAAAAUGAAUUCUGUUCUAGACCCUCUGCUAAAUUUGUGGCGAUUUGUUACAGCAGCACAUAUAAAACGAAUAUACCGAUUUAAACCCCAAUCAUAAUUUACACUUUUGUAUCGAAUUUCCCAAACUGCACUCUGGAGAAUUUAUUCUAGAGUACUUUAAAUUGAAAUGAUGGAAUUAUAAAGUGAUCCCUAGCAAGUUAUGAAAAUGCUACAGUCUAAUCACCACUGUGGAUCAGUAGCUUUACUGAUUAUCUAUGUAAACAUAUCUUUAAAGAUGGGAACCAUACAUAAGAUAACAGGUUAUUGGAUCCAGAAGUUGGGGUGUAUGGCAUAGUAAAGCCCCAUCUUUGAGACCAUUUAAUCCCUCAUUAAAGGCUUGGGUAAACAAGCCUUGAGUAUAUAGUUUUCUACAACUUUUUAGAAAUAACUUAUUUGCUCAGAAAAAGACUUGGCUAUAUUUCUGAGCAUAUAUGCAAAGGAA